GAUGAACGCUAGCGGCAGGCCUAAUACAUGCAAGUCGAACGGUGUCUUCGGACAUAGUGGCGCACGGGUGCGUAACACGUAUGCAACCUACCUUACAUUGGGGGAUAGCCUUUCGAAAGGGAGAUUAAUACCGCAUAAGACAGUAGCUGGGCAUCCAGCAGCUGUUAAAGAUUUAUCGAUGUAAGCUGGGCAUGCGUCCAAUUAGCUAGUUGGUGAGGUAACGGCUCACCAAGGCAAUGAUUGGUAGGGGAACUGAGAGGUCAAUCCCCCACACUGGCACGGAGAACGGGGCCAGACUCCUACGGGAGGCAGCAGUAGGGAAUAUUGGGCAAUGGACGCAAGGCUGACCCAGCCCUGCCGCGUGCAGGAUGAAGGCGUUAUGCGUUGUAAACUGCUUUUAUACAGGAAGAAACGACUCUUGCGAGAGGCAUUGACGGUACUGUAUGAAUAAGCACCGGCUAACUCCGUGCCAGCCGCCGCCGUAAGAC
rnacentral:rRNA from 1 species